rnacentral:rRNA from 1 species
AUUGAACGCUGGCGGCAGGCCUAACACAUGCAAGUCGAGCGGAUGAAGGGAGCUUGCUCCUGGAUUCAGCGGCGGACGGGUGAGUAAUGCCUAGGAAUCUGCCUGGUAGUGGGGGAUAACGUCCGGAAACGGGCGCUAAUACCGCAUACGUCCUGAGGGAGAAAGUGGGGGAUCUUCGGACCUCACGCUAUCAGAUGAGCCUAGGUCGGAUUAGCUAGUUGGUGGGGUAAAGGCCUACCAAGGCGACGAUCCGUAACUGGUCUGAGAGGAUGAUCAGUCACAAUGGAACUGAGACACGGUCCAGACUCCUACGGGAGGCAGCAGUGGGGAAUAUUGGACAAUGGGCGAAAGCCUGAUCCAGCCAUGCCGCGUGGGUGAAGAAGGUCUUCGGAUUGUAAAGCACUUUAAGUUGGGAGGAAGGGCAGUAAGUUAAUACCUUGCUGUUUUGACGUGACCAACAGAAUAAGCACAGGCGAACUUCGU